CUGGCAAAUGAGCAGGGGAUGCCAUUUAUUCUCCUGAGAUGGCCUUCCGGUCGUCUCGGAUGGCCUCCCGGUGAGAUCUGACUUAGGAGAUACAGGAGAAAACGAUUAAGUAAGGCUGCUGCAGGACUCAAAGGACUUUCCUAUUGAAGACUUCCAGUUCCCCAAGAGAUCAUAAAGUGUCUUGACUUUGACCAGCUAGAGCAGAAAAAAUGCAGCAUCAACAGCCAGAUACUAUUGUGCACCUGCAAGUAUAUGCCUUGCGAUAGACCUGUCCAGGGUGCACGCUGACUCUCGCCCUAUGACAGCUUGGAGAGGCUUCCACCCCAAAUUCAAGAAUCUCAGAUCAACGUCUGAAAAGGAGAAAGAGUUAAUCUGCGUGUCCAAUAUUGCUUCUAAUCUAAACUGUAUAUUACAAAAUUGUCAGUUGUAUUGUGUUCUUCAGUUUUAGUCACUGACAUAUUAAAAACAUGCAUUUAUUAUUGAAUUAUUUUUCAAUAAA